rnacentral:rRNA from 1 species
GUCACUGACGAGUUUUGAUCAUGGCUCAGAAUGAACGCUGGCGGCAUGCCUAACACAUGCAAGUCGAACGAAGUCUUCGGACUUAGUGGCGCACGGGUGCGUAACGCGUGGGAAUCUGCCCUUGGGUACGGAAUAACUCAGAGAAAUUUGUGCUAAUACCGUAAUAAUGUCUUCGGACCAAAGAUUUUAUCGCCCAAGGAUGAGCCCCGCGUUAGGAUUAGGUAGUUGGUGAGGUAAAAGCUCACCAAGCCGACGAUCCUUAGCUGGUCUGAGAGGAUGAUCAGCCACACUGGGACUGAGACACGGCCCAGACUCCUACGGGAGGCAGCAGUGGGGAAUAUUGGACAAUGGGCGCAAGCCUGAUCCAGCAAUGCCGCGUGAGUGAUGAAGGCCUUAGGGUUGUAAAGCUCUUUUACCCGGGAUGAUAAUGACAGUACCGGGAGAAUUAAGCUCCGGGCUAACUUCGUG